rnacentral:rRNA from 1 species
AGUGAACGCUGGCGGUAGGCCUAAUACAUGCAAGUCGAGCGACAACACAGUAAGAUCUCGCCCCUACGGUUAGCGACUGACGGGCGGGUGAGACAUAGAUAACAUACUUAUUAGACUGGGGUGACAUCGGGGGAAAACUGCUGCUAAUGGCGCAUACAUCCAACGGGAGGAAUCAGUAGUGCAAGAGAGCUUUGGCGAUACAUAGAGACGGAUUCGGGCCGGAUUAGCUAGUUGGUAAGGUAACGGCCUACCAAGGCAACGAUGCGUAGCCGACCUGAGAGGGUGAUCGGCCACACUGGAACUGAGACACGGUCCAGACUCCUACGGGAGGCAGCAGUAGGGAAUCUUCCGCAAUGGGCGAAAGCCUGACCGAGCCACGCCGCGUGAGUGAAGAAGGUCUUCGGAUUGUAAAACUCUUUUGUUAGGAAAGAAAAGAAGCAGAUGAAACUACGCAUGUUUUGACGGUACCUAAACAGAAAGCCCCGGCUAACUUCGUG